UACAUAGGGUGCAAGCGUUGUCCGGAAUUAUUGGGCGUAAAGAGCUCGUAGGUGGUUCGUCACGUCGGAUGUGAAACUCUGGGGCUUAACCCCAGACCUGCAUUUCGAUACGGGCAAACUAGAGUUUGGUAGGGGAGACUGGAAUUCCUGGUGUAGCGGUGGAAUGCGCAGAUAUCAGGAGGAACACCAAUGGUGAAGGCAGGUCUCUGGGCCAAUACUGACACUGAGGAGCGAAAGUCUGGGGAGCGAACAGG
rnacentral:rRNA from 1 species